rnacentral:rRNA from 1 species
AGCGAACGCUGGCGGCAUGCCUAACACAUGCAAGUCGCACGGGGGGGCUUCGGCCUCCCAGUGGCGGACGGGUGAGGAACGCGUAGGGACCUGUCGAGGGGUGGGGGAUAACCGCGGGAAACUGCGGCUAAUACCGCAUGACGCCGCGGCGUGACAGCCGGGGCCAAAGGCGAAAGCCGCCCGCCGAGGGGCCUGCGUCCGAUUAGCUGGUUGGCGGGGUAGCGGCCCACCAAGGCGUCGACCGGUAGCUGGUCUGAGAGGGUGAUCAGCCACACCGGGACUGAGACACGGCCCGGACUCCUACGGGAGGCAGCAGUGGGGAAUAUUGGACAAUGGGCGCAAGCCUGAUCCAGCAAUGCCGCGUGGGUGAAGAAGGUCUUCGGAUUGUAAAGCCCUUUCGGCGGGGACGAUGGUGACGGUACCCGCAGAAGAAGCCCCGGCUAACUUCGUG